AUGUUGUGUCAAAUUACUAUAAAGGUUGUGUCAAAUCACACAUGUUUCAGAUCUACAAGGUUAGAGUUUGAAUCAAUCGUGCAUAUUUCAGAUCUACAAGGUUUUUUAUUUGAUUUUUGGAUUUUGGAUGCACAGGCCAAGAGGAUUAAAGGUUAUGUGAAAGUAAAUUGCAUCUCUGAUAGAGAGAAUUUUGAAGUCCAGAUUUUGUUUUGA